rnacentral:rRNA from 1 species
UACGUAGGGUGCGAGCGUUAAUCGGAAUUACUGGGCGUAAAGCGUGCGCAGGCGGUUAUGCAAGACAGAUGUGAAAUCCCCGGGCUCAACCUGGGAACUGCAUUUGUGACUGCAUGGCUAGAGUGCGGCAGAGGGGGAUGGAAUUCCGCGUGUAGCAGUGAAAUGCGUAGAUAUGCGGAGGAACACCGAUGGCGAAGGCAAUCCCCUGGGCCUGCACUGACGCUCAUGCACGAAAGCGUGGGGAGCGAACAGG